CCCGUCCUGCUGCAGUAUGCAAAUUAGCCACCAUCUUUGUUGGUGGUUAAUUUGCAUGUUGCUCUGAUCAGCCAAUGGCAGGCAUAGCAAAGGUACAGUCAAUUACCAUGUUUGUCUAUUAUUAGUGUGUAUAUAUAUAUAUAUCUUUUAUAUAUAGAGAUAGAUAGAUUUCAGAGAGGAAAGAAGGAUAGAAACACCAAUGAUAAGAAAGAAUAAUCGACCGGCUGCCUCCUGCCCUCCCCCUACUGGGGAUUGAGCUCAAAACCCAGGCAUGUGUCCUGACUGGGAUUUGAACUGUGACCUGGUUCAUAGGUUGAUGCUCAACCACUGAGCUACACCUGCUGGGCAGGAGUGCAUGUCUUUGAGUAGAUAUAGGAAAUCCUUUAGAUAUUAGUAUUUCCGUCAUAGGUGGGACAAGUGGUGUCCAUGUACGAGAGUGCUCCUGGGAACACCACCUGUAACGUAGUGAGGGAAGCAGGAUGGGGCAGAGGAGGAAGCUGAAACAUGAUGCAGUUGCCAGAGAAACUGACCAAUUCCAUGAGGAACUCUGAAGUUGGGGUGACCCUUCAGAUACGCCAAGUUGGGGCAAAAAGGCUUGACUUCAUACCCCUCACUGGCUGCAAUUCCUGGGGGAGGUUCUCAGCAAUUGGGGAGUAUCUCGGUCUGAAAGUAGGGGAGCUGGGCAAUGUACCACAGUAUCCACUAACCCCCUAUCCACCCACUAAUAAUGAGGCCAACAUUAUUUUGAAUAUUUAUUUUUUUCUAUAGUGCAUCUCAUUCAAACCAUACAACAGUCUGAUACUUAUUUUUCCUUUCAAGCACAACUGAUCCUCAUUUCAGAUGCUUUUUCGUUCUUUCUGUCCUUCUUUUAACCUUACAGGAUGGACAAAGAUACUCACACUUAUAUGGACAAAAACAUCACUUGAAGUUUAUUAAAAGUACAGCUUCCCAGGCCCCAGUCCCAGAGCGUCUUGGAGUGUCUGGGGUGGGACUGGGGGAUGCAAAAUUUUAACGCCCACCCCACCCCUGUCACUUCUGCUGCAGGUGGUCCUUGAACCAUCUUUAGAGGAACACUGCUUAGGACUUGUCCGUUAUCUACCGGAAGCAAUUUCAGAAAAUCCAGGGAUAAUUAAGUAUACAGAAAUAGCUCUUCUAUAAAAUUUCAAUAUAAAAAUAAUGGUAUUUAUUUACAAAGUUUGAGAUGCUACAAAAUAAUACAUCAUAUCUGGUUAGGUACUCCAAUCUAAGAAAGUCUGCGUCAGGCAAGUCAGAUGUGGUGUUUGCAUAUCCCCUUGUUUCGCUUUAUUAAACUACCUAGAGCAUGUGGCACCGUGAUGUUUCCUUCAUGCAGAAAAACAACACAGAACUAUAUUUUCUGGAAAUAAAACCUAGGAGCGCAUGAUCAGAGUAAAGUGUCUCCAAAUGAAAAGGUGAACAGGCGGGUGAUUUGGGCUCACAGCCCUUUUCUUUUCCGUCUGCAAGUCAAGGGUGAGGGUGGUGAACAAAACAGCCCGAGGAACUCUGUGCUGAGCUGGGCCAGAGCUGAGUGGCCAGGGUAGGGGCUGGUUGACAGGUUCUUUUCAGGACACUGGAGGGUUGGACCUGCCAUGGUGCUAAUUGAGAAAGAGAGGCAACAGUUCAGAAGCUUUUUGUUUGUUUUUUUAGCAGAAAAGAAUCUGGGUCCUCGGAGACCUUUAGUAUGGAAAAAAAAAAUCUGACUUCGGUCGUGAACACGCAAAAUCAGGCUGUUUGUCAUUAGAUGAUGCCUGGCAUAUGAAGAUGACACAUAGUGACAAAAUGAUUGGUUGUGAAACCCAAGCACAACCUGGGGAAGUGUGUCCUUGUUGUGUUGAGAUAAACAAGCUAAUGUGGUAGAGAAGGGUAGUGGGGAACUUCACCUCAAGCCCCUUACCAAUGACCAAUGGCCAGGGUGCGUGCCAGUCUCUGCCCAUGGAGGAGUGUCCUCCCAGAUGUGUCUAGACCCGGGGUCUUCUGACCUGAGGCCCAAAGCUGACACCACAGCCUCCCGGGUGAGGUCCCACUGCCGGCUGUGUAGCACUUGGUGUGACGGGGCUGAUGCUGGUCCCAGAGCCACCUGGGAGGACUGUGGGGAGGGCGAGGUUUCAGGAGGCCAUGUGGUCCUCCCGGAGGGGAAUUCUGGUUGGUAGACUCGGCCACACACUCUGAGGGACGGUAGAGGAGUGAUGUCUUAAUGAGUGAGGCGGAGAGCUGUUCUCUCCUGCUCUGAGGCCCUUGGGGAAGGAGUGUCCUGCCCUAUGCCUCAGCUACAUCAACUCCCAAAGCCGCAGUAAGCAAGGAGACCCAGGUCCGUCCUGCUGGAAUAGCAAGGGGUCAGUUAUAUAGGCCUUUCGUAAAGCAAAGGCCAUGUAAGGACAAGUUUACUUCGCCCGAGAACCUCGGCACAGAAUACAAAUAACUGCCUGUUCCUCCUCCUGUCUCGACACCACGCGCACAGACGGACGGACGGACAGCUGCUGUGACACUUCUGUGCUUGUCAGGGGUUCCCAGGGCGCAACUGCAGGUUCAGUUUUGUGUCCCCCACUUUUUCUUCCUUAGCAUUUUGUGCGUGUAGAGGUCUGUGGGAAACUGGAUCCCAAAGGUUAUCUAAGCGUAACUUUUUAGAGCUGUCUUGGUUGUGGAAAGGGGCUGUUUCCUGAGAAAUAUUAUAAUUUGUGUGAAUAUUUAGCUCAACUUUUUAAAGGUAAAUUUUUAAGCAAAUAUCAGACUUUUCCCUUUAGAGUGUUUGGCUAGAGUGGAAUUUAAACAAACAGGCACAUUUCCAAGGGUCCCUCACAGCACGGCGCAGGCCCCUGGCACGCACUGCGGGCCUUCGGUGAAUUCAUAUGGGCGUUCAUCAGCGCUGGGGAACCCUUGCUGUGGGUACAUGCAAAUGGAGAACCUAUGUGGGGAAGUGGUUCUUAUACAGUCUUUAGCUCCACUAACGCCAGUGUAUAUGCAGAAAGGAUGGCCUUUAUAUGUCCAAUGUAAAAAGAUCUUUAUGUAUCCAGUAACUUUUAAAACUAGAGGAAAACACCUAGAAAAGUACUUUUCCACCUUUCAACUGGAAGAUAACAAAGCUAAUGAGAACUUCAUGGGUUAGGAUCUUCUCUUGGUUUGUGGGUACUGCUGGUAGCUAAGUUGAGUUUUCUUAUAAAUACUAAAAAUUAUUUCACAGACUCCAAGAUGGAUGCUUAAGCCUGGCUGAUGUGGCUCAGUGGUGAGCAUAGACCCAUGACCUGAGGUCACUGGUUUGAUUCCCGCUCAGGGCACAUGCCCGGGUUGUGGGCUUGAUCCCCAGCAGGGGGCGUGCAGGAGGCAGCCGAUCAAUGUGAUGCUUCUGUCUCAUAGAUGUUUCUCUCUCCCUAUCCCUCUCCUGCCUCUAAAACCAGUAAAACAUAUUAAAGGAAAAGAACCCAAUGUAUGCUUAGAACUGGAGCAGUGCGGCCGUUGGGAUUCAGGAGACUCCAGGUGCGUCUGAUGGGGCAGUGUCGUGGUAAGAAGGUAUGGAGAUGCCGUUCAGUGGUCUGAUUCAGGACCAACGUCCCUCUCCCGGGGGGCUUCCCUGGCCACCCCUACACUAAGGCAGCCUCCCCCACGUGCCAUUGCCCGUUUCCCCCGCACUACCCGCCCUGAAUGCUUUGUUCUGUCCUCACUCACAUGCUUACUGAAGGGUGAAACCUUUACACUCACUGCUAAGGCAGCAGUAUUAACGCCCACCUCUCGGGAAUGUUGGGGUUGGGACACACCUUUCUGCGCCUGAGGGGAGCGAACUAGGAGGUAUUCACAAGGCCCUUGAGGUGAAUUAUUGGUAAAGCUAAGCAGGGUUCGCUCCGAGUGUGGCUCCGGUAGAAAGAGCCGAGAUAGUCCCUUCCUUUGCGGGCCUUGCCCCGUGCACACCCGUCCCCACUGUGUCCUGCUGUCCCAGGCGCCUGUUACAACUGUGCUGGAAGCAACUUGGCUGCCGCCAGGACCCAAGGGCCGAGGCUGGUGGCUUAGCAAACAGCCAGCUAUGGAGGUCUGCGGGGCUAACUGUGAACACCGCCACCUGAAUGAGCGGACCGGGCUAAUGGUGGUGGAGGGCGGACCUGGCAUUAUUUCCAGGUACAGCAGAGUAUGGUUUCCGCUGUACAUUUUGCUGAGGGGAGUUACCCUUUCAUCCUGUUAAAAUGGUAAAACCACUGUUUUCACCCCACCACUUCCGUACAGAAUUAAGUUGAAGGAAACAAAACACAUGGUCAUCGUUUGUCAAGUUUUCCAGGGCAGUGGGCUUUGUGGAGGUGAGAAGUCACUGUCAGCUCGCUGAGGUCCUCCAUGAUCCUAAGGCACAGUUUAUGUCCAUCUUCCUGAAGGUGAUUAGAUGCACAGUGGGGGAGAGGGAGGGGAGCCUGGCAGGUGCCAUAACCUAAGGUCCAAGGCCGGCCAGGAGCCUCACACAAGUGAUCCUGGAGCAAGAAUGUGCGGACUGAAGAUACUACGCACUUGAAAGGGUAACAGUAAACGGACCCCUGAGGGGUAAAGGCCUCUUAAACUGCCCCAGAAUCAAAGGGGGCGCCACCUCUAGGAGAUGUCCUUGUGGGCACACACGUGUGCACAUAACCCCAAGUGCGCUCCUAGAAUGGCGUCUGGACAUUGCAAUCGCUAUUUCCUAACGGUUUUUCACUCUGAUUUCUAUACGAAAUUGUGCCUGAGCGCAGGACUUCAGACCCAGACAAUCUGUUGAGGGAUUUAUGGAGUAAAACAGGAUUUACUCCCAGCUUCUGCCAGGGAAGGCUUUGCACCAGCCUGUACUGAUGCCCUCGGUGGGACUCCACUCGAUGUCCUCAGCAGUGACCCCAAACAUUACUGAGGACCGGGGGCCAUUUCCGGCCAAACACUACACCUAUGGCUGGACGGCCAAGGAUGGGGCACCAACCACAGCCUUGCUGUGAGACUUAGUUGGGGUUUGGCCAUGGGGGCAGGUGUCUCCAUGCUCCUGUUCGGAGGAGCAGGGACUGGACACGCCAGCACUGCGUUCCUGGCGGCAUCUUUGGCUACGAAACAACACACCAGCUACUGCACAACCAGAACCCCAACCAUUCGGAGAGUUCACCACUUUUCGAAAUGCGACAUCAGACCUCAAGAGGCAGCACUCACUGGACUACCGUGGACGCCUGCUGUCCUCGCCGUGGAAGACUUGGGACCCUGACGGUGGUAACAGCCAAAGCCAGCAGCGGGUAGAGAGAGUCACAUCGGAAAUGUCUCAGCUCUGAAAGCCUGUUUCGUUCACAUUAUCCUAGAAACCGCACAGUGGUUCUCACCAUCGUACCCCAGAGCCCUCUGUCCUUUGCACGAAAGGCACACGUUUGUUCUUCAAAAGAACUAACCAGAAAGUCUGUGCCCCAGGCUGCCAAUGAGGUCACCAAGAGAUAAAAGCCAGAGAGCCUGCCUAAUCACCAAGCUUUUACAAUGAGAAUGGACUGAAGUAAAGUUGUGGUGAGUUACUGAAAGCCCUUCCCUUAGACGCUGCUGGGCUGCCAAUAGAAUAGCCAUCCUGCCCUGGGAGAGAGCAGGGGGAGAUACUGGCUGAGGGGCAAUAAGAUGGGGUCUCAUGAGUGGGUGAUGCCAAUUUAAGAACUAAAUCCAACAGACACUUGUGUUGUGACGGAAGAGCCAAAACCACAAAACGAAACAAAUAAAAACUACUUUGCAGUUCUAGGAGGUAAUACUUACAAUGAAGGAACCUGCCCAAAGCAAAGGCAGAGCACUGUUUGCUACAUCCAAAUUCUAGGUGCAGAACAUACCAUAAUCUUAGUAAGUUAGGACAAUCAUAAAGACGUCAGAAUGAGUGAAACAAAAUCUGAAUUAUAUAACAUGCAAAACAGUGGUGCUUAGUAUAUUCAAGCAUACUUUUAUAAUUCAUAAUAAAAAUUAUAAAGAACCCAAUUUAAAAAACGAGCAAAGGAUCUGAAUAGACAUUCUCCAAGGAAGAUUUACGAAUGGCCAAUAAGCACAUGAAAAGAUGCUCACAUCAUUAGUCACUAGGGAAAUGCAGAUCAAACUGACAGUGAGAUACCACAUCUAUUAGGAUGGCUGUAAUAAAAAGGUGGCCAACAAGUGUUUAGAAGGGUGUGGACAAACGGAAACUCGCAUACAUUGCUGGUAGAACUGUAAAAUGGUACAACUGCUUUGGAAAAUAGUAUGGCAGUUCCUCAAAAUGUUAAAGUAGGAAAGGGUUCAGAAUCAAGGACGAGCAUACAGUGGACUUGAACUAAUUUUCUAUGAGAAAAGGAGAAAGGUUUUAACAUGUUAGGGUUUGAUAUAUUUAAUCAGGGACAACAUGUGAAAGGAUCCGUUAACAUACCUGUGAUAUAACCUUCUAACGCCUUUGGCACCAGGGAUUUAGCACGUUUCAGAUCCUCCAGAGAACAUUUGCCUGACUCCAGGCCAAAGGACAUUCCCAUCCGCUUCAGUACUUCGAUGUCAUCAUGGAUCUCAAAGGUGUUGUCAAAAUUGAAAAGAUAUUCAAACCUGCACCAGGAAACAAAGUUGGUACAGGCUUCCGUGGUGUUGGAGAGGUCUGAGGAGUUUUAUAGUCUGUUUACUACAUAAAAGAAUGAGGGCCUAAGUUCAGCUACUGCACUAGAAAUUAUCGAUGUUUAUAGCAAUAAGGGUCCUUCUGCUGUAUUCAGGAGAUGACAUCUCAAAUACACCACUUUCCCAAGUAACACGUUAAGCACCCAGCCUGUUUGGUCUCCGCACGUAUAGAAAGUAUAGUGUCAGUCACCGGAGACUACAAGGCGCUUAACGUGUCUAACUUUCAUGUGACAGACAAGAGGUCCAUAAACUUUAGCCCUCAUUAAGCUAUUGCAAAUCGGAUACAGAAAUACUGGUCUAAAUCCAACACUUUCCUUUCUUUUCUGUUAAUCCUCAAGAGUAUAUUUUUUCCGUUGCCUUUCAAGAGAGAAAAACAAAGUAAGAGGAGAGACACAUGGAUUGGUUGCCUCUUGAAUGAGCCCUAACUGGGCGGGGGACGGGGACGGACCACAAGAACCCACAACCCAGGUAUGUGCCCUGGACUGGGAAUUGAACCUGAGACCCUUCAGUGUGUGGGCUGGCGCUCUAACCACUUGGCAACACCGGCCAGGGCUAGUUUGGUCAAUUUAAUGCUCAUGGUGGGAGAACUGCCUGGCUAAGUAAGGGGAAAAGAUUGCAUCACCAAAGUAAGUGAAAGAAAGGCUGUAGGACCUGCCUUGAACAACAAACUGCUGCAAGCUUCUUAGCGUUUCCUUCCUCCAGGGAAGAGCAUUGAGUCAGUUACCACCCAAGAAUGGAACCCUUACUAGACCCCAGCCAGGGAUGAACAGAAGCCAUAAGCCCUUAGGCCAAUGACUCCCUGCAAUUCCUUAUUGAAAGCAUUUAACAUGUUUAAAUUGCCUGCUUUGAGUCCAAGCCUUAGGCAUUCUCUCAUUUAAUCCUCACCACAGGGCUAGGAAGUGGCGUUUUCCGGAAAACAGCUCUGGAGCAGUUAAACGGGGGAGCCGGGAGCCGUCAUCCACAUCUGGGUCUGUCUCCACCCCAUGCCCUCAACUGUCUCAUGAUACUGAUCACAGACUGAAGACCAACAAAUUAACUAUUUUUAUGAAGGUAAAAUAAAUCUCACAUUAAUUCUGUAUUAUUGAUGGAUGGAUAAAGAAAAUGUAUAGAUACAAUAAAAUAUUCAGCCACAAAAAAGAGAAGGAAACGCUGCCAUUUGUGACAACAUGGAUGGACUUUGAGGGCAUUAUGCUAAGUGAAAUAAUUCAGAGAAAGACAAAUACUGAAUGAUCUCACUUAAUGUGGAACCUAAAAAACUGAUUUCAUAGAUACAGAGAAUUGAUUGGGGGAUGGGGGGCAAAAUAUAUGAAGGUGGUCAAAAGUAUUAACUUUCAAUUAUAAGAUUAAAAAACAAAGGAGAGCCCUAACCGGUUUGGCUCAGUGGAUAGAGCGUCGGCCUGUGGACUGAAGGGUCCCAGGUUCGAUUCUGGUCAAGGGCAUGUGCCUUGGUUGCGGGUGCAUCCCCAGUAGGGGGUGUGCAGGAGGCAGCUAAUUGAUGUUUCUCUCUCAUCGAGGUUUCUAACUCUAUUGCUCUCCCUCUCUGUAAAAAAAUCAAUAAAAUAUAUUAAAAAAAAAAAAAAAA